UGGAUCUUAGUUAAAACCAGAGGUGUGUAUCUUAGUUAAAACCAGAGGUGUGUAUCUUAGUUAAAACCAGAGGUGUGUAUCUUAGUUAAAACCAGAGGUGUGUAUCUUAGUUAAAACCAGAGGUGUGUAUCUUAGUUAAAACCAGAGGUGUGGAUCUUAGUUAAAACCAGAGGUGUGUAUCUUAGUUAAAACCAGAGGUGU